GGGGGGCAAGCGUUGUUCGGAAUUACUGGGCGUAAAGGGCGCGUAGGCGGUUCGAUAAGUCAGCUGUGAAAACCAUGGGCUUAACUCAUGGCCUGCAGUUGAGACUGUCGGGCUGGAGUGUGGGAGAGGAGAGUGGAAUUCCUGGUGUAGCGGUGAAAUGCGUAGAUAUCAGGAGGAACACCGGUGGCGAAGGCGGCUCUCUGGACCACAACUGACGCUGAGGCGCGAAAGCUAGGGGAGCAAACGGG
rnacentral:rRNA from 1 species